UACGAAGGGUGCAAGCGUUACUCGGAAUUACUGGGCGUAAAGCGUGCGUAGGUGGUUUGUUAAGUCUGUUGUGAAAGCCCUGGGCUCAACCUGGGAAUUGCAUUGGAUACUGGCAGGCUAGAGUGCGGUAGAGGGUAGUGGAAUUCCCGGUGUAGCAGUGAAAUGCGUAGAGAUCGGGAGGAACACCAGUGGCGAAGGCGACUACCUGGACCAGCACUGACACUGAGGCACGAAAGCGUGGGGAGCAAACAGG
rnacentral:rRNA from 1 species